GAUGAAGAACGUAGCGAAAUGCGAUACGUAAUGUGAAUUGCAGAAUUCAGUGAAUCAUCGAAUCUUUGAACGCACAUUGCGCCCCUUGGUAUUCCAUGGGGCAUGCCUGUUCGAGCGUCAUUUGUACCUUCAAGCUCUGCUUGGUGUUGGGUGUUUGUCUCGCCUUGCGCGUAGACUCGCCUUAAAACAAUUGGCAGCCGGCGUAUUGAUUUCGGAGCGCAGUACAUCUCGCGCUUUGCACUCAUAACGACGACGUCCAAAAGUACUUUUUACACUCUUGACCUCGGAUCAGGUAGGGAUACCCGCUGAACUUAAGCAUAUCAAUAAGCGGAGGA
rnacentral:misc_RNA from 1 species